rnacentral:lncRNA from 1 species
CCAAAUGUAAUUCAUAUCAGAUGUAAAAUCAUUAUUACAGAUGGAACUAUUUACAUGUGAAGGCAAUGGAACAGCCUUGUUAUCAGACAAGAUGUCAUUAUUACAAGAAACAGACACAGAAGGCAACGCAACAACUUUGCUAUCAUUACAAGAAGUAGAUACAGGACAAACAGAAGUAGAGGAACAACUAACAGAUGAAGAAGGGGAAGAAGGGACCCAAGCCAGUUUAUAUAGGCCAGCAGCUUCUCUACCAAGAUCCAGUGGCCUCCUCAGAGAAGGGUCCUGUAUCAUGUGUAGUAANNNN